rnacentral:miRNA from 1 species
GAAAGCGAGAGAGAGAGAGAGAGAGAGAGAGAGAGAGAGAGAGAGAGAGAGAAAGAGAAAUGCUUUUUAUUUUGUGUUCAAGAUUUACUAUCGUUUUUCUUUCCUUUCUCUAGUUUUCUCUCAUUUCUUCUCCACUUCUCU